CGCGGGAUUAGAGUUUGAUCAUGGCUCAGAUUGAACGCUGGCGGCAGGCCUAACACAUGCAAGUCGAGCGGAAACGAGUUAUCUGAACCUUCGGGGAACGAUAACGGCGUCGAGCGGCGGACGGGUGAGUAAUGCCUAGGAAAUUGCCCUGAUGUGGGGGAUAACCAUUGGAAACGAUGGCUAAUACCGCAUAAUGUCGUUUUCUAUAAACGAAGGGGACCAAAGAGGGGGACCGCAAGGCCUCUCGCGUCAGGAUAUGCCUAGGUGGGAUUAGCUAGUUGGUGAGGUAAAGGCUCACCAAGGCGACGAUCCCUAGCUGGUCUGAGAGGAUGAUCAGCCACACUGAAACUGAGACACGGUCCAGACUCCUACGGGAGGCAGCAGUGGGGAAUAUUGCACAACGGGCGCAAGCCUGAUGCAGCCAUGCCGUGUGUGUGAAGAAGGCCUUCGGGUUGUAAAGCACUUUCAGUCGUGAGGAAGGCAGUAUAGUUAAUAGCUGUAUUGUUUGACGUUAGCGACAGAAGAAGCACCGGUUAACUCCGUGCCAGCAGCCGCGGUAAUACGGAGGGUGCGAGCGUUAAUCGGAAUUACUGGGCGUAAAGCGCAUGCAGGUGGUUUGUUAGGUCAGAUGUGAAAGCCCGGGGCUCAACCUCGGAAUAGCAUUUGAAACUAGCAAACUAGAGUACUGUAGAGGGGGGUAGAAUUUCA
rnacentral:rRNA from 1 species